rnacentral:misc_RNA from 1 species
ACCAUAAACACCAGAUUCAUCAACAAGAGAAGUAGUGGGUACUUUCUGUGAAGAUGGUUUGUCUCCAGUACCCUCUCUCAGAGAAAGGGCAGCCUUUUGUUUCACUAAAUCUUCAAGCCUGUCAAGGAUGUCAUCUAACUUUUCUUCCAUCCCCUUUUUAAAUGGAUUACGAGAAGAGAAAAAGCCCCUCACCUGAUCUCCAAAGGUACGAGAUCCAGCUUCCAUCUUCAAUCGAAAAGCUUUAUAAGCAAUCUCAUCCAACAAGUCAUCAGCUUCAUAGACAGCAUCUUUAAGCUCAUCAAGCCACUUUCUCACAGCUGAACUAGUAAUCUGCUUCUCCUCUGCAUCCUCCAGCACUCCGUUAACAGCGAACAUCAUCGUAUUCAACCUCUUUACCUGGGCAUCACUAAUCCUUCUGCCCUUAACUAAAUCAACAAACUCGCGAGAAGCCAUCCUAUCUAACAAGAAAUUAAGGAAAGAAGAGAGAAAUGAUCCUCCCACAGCCUCCAAAGCCAUAGAUUACUCCUCCUUUGGUGAUUCUAGCUAGGCACUGCAGCCAUAAGGGAGACUGGAUUAGCUGGUAACCGAUACUAUUAGGUUGUGUUACAGAAGCCUAGUUACUCUUCAAUUUCUAUGAACUUUCUUCUUCUUCACAAGUCUAUUCUUGUAUGUUCGCAAGGCAUCACCAUUGAAAUGCUAUGCUAGCAAACAAGUCUAUCCUCUGAAGUGAGGCUGAGAACUGCCACCAUCCACCGGCGAUUAGGAGAACAGGUUGUGCUUGGUAGAGAUAUGCAGGGAGAGUUUGAAAUCUUGAGGUAUGAUGACAAAUUGCC